AUACGACUCUCGGCAACGGAUAUCUCGGCUCUCGCAUCGANNNNNAACGCAGCGAAAUGCGAUACUUGGUGUGAAUUGCAGAAUCCCGUGAAUCAUCGAGUCUUUGAACGCAAGUUGCGCCCGAGGCCCUUCGGCCGAGGGCACAUCUGCUUGGGCGUCGAC
rnacentral:rRNA from 1 species